UUUUCUGUGUAGUUAUCUAGAAGCCUUUUUGGAUGUUGUCUUUCAGUGUACAAAAUGAAGAAUGCUGAAUGGGAAAUAGCAAGACAGAUUUCAGCUCCACAUAAGGAAGGAUGUCCUGCAAAUUAGCAAAGCCUAAAAAUGAAACAUGAUGCUUUAAGAAAUACUGAUGAUUCAUAAAAGAAACUUUUAUUGUGAGAGUUUCUCUUCAUUGGGGCAAAUCAAUAAAAUGCCCAUAUUUUCUAACAUUCAAAUGUUGCUUGGAAUCACUGAGCGGGUGGAGAAGUGAUGAAGGCAGGAAUCCACAAAGAGGCUGGUCAAAGGUAAGAGUGUCUGCCUCUGAGAGACUCACUCCUUCUGUGUCUGCCUC
rnacentral:lncRNA from 1 species